AAUUACACUUUUAUAAUCAGAUUUGUUGUAAUUAUCGGAGUUCUGGCUCUUCUCCUCGUCGUUAUAUUGGUAGUGGUGUUCUGUCAAGGAAAGCGCAAGCCUACAGGUUUGGGCAAUCAAAGACAGACAACUCCACCAUGAAAAAGAAACACAGAAGGUGAAUCUCACCUUUAUGGCAACCUUGAAGAAAUUCAGCAGAUGGCAGAAAGCGAAGGUAAAGAUGGAAGAGUCGAUGAAGAGCCAUGAAGACGGAUAUAUAGUGCAUGUUAUUUUUUCCUCGUUAGUAUCGUGUUUCGUAUCCCUGCCUGUCACGUGUUAGACCAGGGUUCAAUUUCCCGACGAAGAGCCACAGGGUUUAAUUCCCUGACCUUUUGCUUUUGAUAUGUGUACAGCCUUUAUGGCCACUUUUUAAAAAUGUUUAUUAGUAAUUGCCUCGUUAGAUACUCGGAACAAUUAGG